rnacentral:rRNA from 1 species
UUGCCAGCCCGCUCAGAAACUCAAAGGAAUUGACGGGGCCCGCACAAGCGGAGGAGCAUGUGGUUAAUUCGAUGAUACGCGAGGAACCUUACCUGGGCUCGAACGUAAGAUGACUGUAGGUGAAAGCUUACAUCUCUUCGGAGCAUUUUACGAGGUGCUGCAUGGUUGUCGUCAGCUCGUGCCGUGAGGUGUCGGGUUAAGUCCCAUAACGAGCGCAACCCCUACCUUUAGUUGCCAUCAGGUAAUGCUGGGGACUCUAAAGGAACUGCCUACGCAAGUAGUGAGGAAGGCGGGGAUGACGUCAAAUCAGCACGGCCCUUACGUCCAGGGCUACACACGUGCUACAAUGGCCGAUACAGAGGGCAGCUACCUGGUGACAGGAUGCAAAUCUCCAAAGUCGGUCUCAGUUCGGAUCGGAGUCUGCAACCCGACUCCGUGAAGUUGGAUUCGCUGGUAAUCGCGCAUCAGCCAUGGCGCGGUGAAUACGUUCCCGGGCCUU